rnacentral:rRNA from 1 species
GACGAACGCUGGCGGCGUGCUUAACACAUGCAAGUCGAACGGAAAGGCCCUGCUUUUGUGGGGUGCUCGAGUGGCGAACGGGUGAGUAACACGUGAGUAACCUGCCCUUGACUUUGGGAUAACUUCAGGAAACUGGGGCUAAUACCGGAUAGGAGCUCCUGCUGCAUGGUGGGGGUUGGAAAGUUUCGGCGGUUGGGGAUGGACUCGCGGCUUAUCAGCUUGUUGGUGGGGUAGUGGCUUACCAAGGCUUUGACGGGUAGCCGGCCUGAGAGGGUGACCGGCCACAUUGGGACUGAGAUACGGCCCAGACUCCUACGGGAGGCAGCAGUGGGGAAUAUUGCACAAUGGGCGGAAGCCUGAUGCAGCAACGCCGCGUGCGGGAUGACGGGCUUCGGGUUGUAAACCGCUUUCGCCUGUGACGAAGCGUGAGUGACGGUAAUGGGGAAAGAAGCACCGGCUAACUACGU